rnacentral:rRNA from 1 species
UACGGAGGAUGCGAGCGUUAUCCGGAUUUAUUGGGUUUAAAGGGUGCGUAGGCGGUAUGGUAAGUCAGCGGUAAAAGCCCGGGGCUCAACCCCGGCGAGCCGUUGAAACUGCCGUGCUAGAGAGGAAGAGAAGUAGGCGGAAUGCGCAGUGUAGCGGUGAAAUGCUUAGAUAUUGCGCAGAACUCCGAUUGCGAAGGCAGCCUACCGCAGCGUUACUGACGCUGAAGCUCGAAAGCGCGGGUAUCGAACAGG